rnacentral:rRNA from 1 species
GCCAGUGGUGAACUCCACAUACGCAUCCUUUGCUGAGGAUACGGUUAACGGAGCGCAAGCGACGUUCAACCGCAAAAGAAGCAGAGGGGGCUUAGUGGUGGGGUGACUGCGUACCUUUUGUAUAAUGGGUCAGCGACUUAUAUUCUGUAGCAAGGUUAACCGUAUAGGGGAGCCGGAGGGAAACCGAGUCUUAAUUGGGCGUUAAGUUGCAGGGUAUAGACCCGAAACCCGGUGAUCUAGCCAUGGGCAGGUUGAAGGUUGGGUAACACUAACUGGAGGACCGAACCGACUAAUGUUGAAAAAUUAGCGGAUGACCUGUGGCUGGGGGUGAAAGGCCAAUCAAACCGGGAGAUAGCUGGUUCUCCCCGAAAGCUAUUUAGGUAGCGCCUCGUGAAUUCAUCUCCGGGGGUAGAGCACUGUUUCGGCUAGGGGGCCAUCCCGGCUUACCAACCCGAUGCAAACUGCGAAUACCGGAGAAUGUUAUCACGGGAGACACACGGCGGGUGCUAACGUCCGUCGUGAAGAGGGAAACAACCCAGACCGCCAGCUAAGGUCCCAAAGUCAUGGUUAAGUGGGAAACGAUGUGGGAAGGCCCAGACAGCCAGGAUGUUGGCUUAGAAGCAGCCAUCAUUUAAAGAAAGCGUAAUAGCUCACUGGUCGAGUCGGCCUGCGCGGAAGAUGUAACGGGGCUAAACCAU